rnacentral:ncRNA from 1 species
CUAACGACAGAUAAGAGGCCAACAAUGCAAGGUGCAAGUCAUGAAAAAAACAAACAGGGUGUCUUAUAGUUGAGGGACCUUAAAUCUGUGUAUAAGAGCAUGGAAGAAGUCUGGUACUAGUCUGUACUAAAGAAAUUCUCCUUAGAUAUGUUUCUAACAAGGUGUUGCAACUUCUAUUAUACCAUUAUAAGCUCGGUGUACACAUAUCAGGGUUUGAUUCUGAAGAGGGAGCUUGAAGGGAUGCUACCAGAUCCAAGGAAGGCAGCAGGCGUGCAGGUUACCUACUCCUGACCUAGGGAGGUAGUGACAGAAAAAUAACAAUACAGGACUCUUUUGAGGCCUUGUAAUUGGAACAAGUUCACUCUAAAUACGUAUCUAUAAUAUAG